rnacentral:rRNA from 1 species
UUCGAGGCUAGCUCCAAUGGUUACUCCACCGGCUUCGGGUGUUACAAACUCUCGUGGUGUGACGGGCGGUGUGUACAAGACCCGGGAACGUAUUCACCGUAGCAUGCUGAUCUACGAUUACUAGCGAUUCCAGCUUCAUGUAGUCGAGUUGCAGACUACAAUCCGAACUGAGAACAACUUUAUGGGAUUUGCUUGACCUCGCGGUUUCGCUGCCCUUUGUAUUGUCCAUUGUAGCACGUGUGUAGCCCAAAUCAUAAGGGGCAUGAUGAUUUGACGUCAUCCCCACCUUCCUCCGGUUUGUCACCGGCAGUCAACUUAGAGUGCCCAACUUAAUGAUGGCAACUAAGCUUAAGGGUUGCGCUCGUUGCGGGACUUAACCCAACAUCUCACGACACGAGCUGACGACAACCAUGCACCACCUGUCACUUUGUCCCCCGAAGGGGAAACUUCUAUCUCUAGAAGGGUCAAAGGAUGUCAAGAUUUG